AAAAUAACAAGUGUAUAUUGAUAAAAACACUUAUUAAUCCAUUCAAAUCUAAUCCAAUAAUAAAAAAAAAAAUUACUGAAUAACAUAUGAUUCUAGAAUCUGAAUUAAAUUUGGUUAAUGUGUGUCUAUCUAUUUGUUGAUAUUAAUAUCAUGAAUUUUAUUUACAGAAAAAUAUAUCAAAAUUUUCAGUUUUACUUGUUAAACUUGAUUUGAGAUGUUAGACAAAAUUAGCAACGAAUACUCUUCUCCUU
rnacentral:lncRNA from 1 species